UUUUUAGGACUUCGUGGCCAAGUUGGUAAGACGAAGAAUCUUGGCUAAAAUACGAGUGUUCGAUCCUUACAGCGGUCAUAAUACU